AAAACAGAAUACUUUCGGCUUCACGGUAUGCUACAAGUGGCUGGUUGGAAGAGGAAGAGGGCGAGGACGAGGGCGAGGGCGAGGGCGAGGGUUGUGCUCUGCUGCUGUUCUCCCCUGCUCUGGUCUGCUCUGCCUCGGACGCCAUCUUGGCUUCCAUUAUAUGCCGGCUGCAGCCAAUCACAGGACGGGUGGGAGACAGUCCACCAAUCCGCGCCUGGUUGUGGCACAUCCCUGUUUGAAUAAAGAAACCAGAAAGACACAAAAAGAAACCCACAAACACUCCACAUAUGACCCCAGUCAUAACACCGCCUAACCCUAACCCUCCUCCUGUUUGUACUUUCUCCCUUUCCUCUUGCUGACUUUUUUCAUAUAUCCUUGGGGGGAGCCUUUAGACAAAUUUUAACACCUUUCAUGGAACUUAUUCUUAACCCAGUGUUCCCUAGACUUGCACGUUUUCUUACCCCAUCUUACCCACCCCAUUCCACCUGAUUUUCCAGGAACCAUAUUAAGUGAUGAGCUAUAGACCCCUGAAGCUUUUCACCCCCAUCCACGACCCACCCCCACCCCUUCACACACAACCCCCAUAGGACACCUGACUACUUACUUGAUUUAAAAGAUGUGCCAGUCAAGUCUACAUUGUAAAUGCUUAGAUAUUAUGUCUUAUUGAUAAUAUCAAUGCAUAAAAUAAUGCAACAAGCUGUAGAUGAACAAUAAUUUAUUGAACUGGAACAUCGAUUGAACUGGACACAUGGGCACUGGUCUUGAUAUAUGUUCUCUCUUCCACUCCUCUCCUAUCUCAUCCUGUCCUCUUCUCUCCACACCAGGCAGUCAGACAAAUGUAAACCCCCGCCACGUGUGACGGCGUUGUUGAAAAGAACCAGGACAUGGAAACCAGGUUCCAUGUCCUAAAGUUCUAUUCUAAUUUCUAAGUUCAAAUUCUCACCCUAGUAACCUCUGCCCGUCCGACCACCUGCCCUCUUGACCCCAUUUCAUCACGUCUUCUACAAUCUAUCGCUCCUGACCUUCUUUCUUUCCUCACCUGUCUCAUCAACAAUGCUCUGUUAUCUGGCUGUUUUCCCAAUUCUCUGAAGGAGGCUCUGAAGAAAACAACUACACUUUAAAAACUGGGAUUGGCGUUAAUUAAUAUCUACUAAAUAAAUAAUAGUAAUAAACCUAAUAAAAAAGACUAAGUAGAGUUUUGAAU
ensembl:lncRNA